rnacentral:rRNA from 1 species
UACGAAGGGUGCAAGCGUUAAUCGGAAUUACUGGGCGUAAAGAGCUCGUAGGCGGUUUGUCGCGUCUGCUGUGAAAACCCGAGGCUCAACCUCGGGCCUGCAGUGGGUACGGGCAGACUAGAGUGCGGUAGGGGAGAUUGGAAUUCCUGGUGUAGCGGUGGAAUGCGCAGAUAUCAGGAGGAACACCGAUGGCGAAGGCAGAUCUCUGGGCCGUAACUGACGCUGAGGAGCGAAAGCAUGGGUAGCGAACAGG